GACGAACGCUGGCGGCGUGCCUAAUACAUGCAAGUAGAACGCUGAAGGAGGAGCUUGCUUCUCCGGAUGAGUUGCGAACGGGUGAGUAACGCGUAGGUAACCUGCCUGGUAGCGGGGGAUAACUAUUGGAAACGAUAGCUAAUACCGCAUAACAGUAGAUAUUGCAUGAUAUCUGCUUGAAAGGUGCAAUUGCAUCACUACCAGAUGGACCUGCGUUGUAUUAGCUAGUUGGUGGGGUAACGGCUCACCAAGGCGACGAUACAUAGCCGACCUGAGAGGGUGAUCGGCCACACUGGGACUGAGACACGGCCCAGACUCCUACGGGAGGCAGCAGUAGGGAAUCUUCGGCAAUGGACGGAAGUCUGACCGAGCAACGCCGCGGGAGUGAAGAAGGGUUUCGGAUCGUAAAGCUCUGUUGUAAGAGAAGAACGAGUGUGAGAGUGGAAAGUUCACACUGUGACGGUAGCUUACCAGAAAGGGACGGCUAACUACGUG
rnacentral:rRNA from 1 species